rnacentral:rRNA from 1 species
CCUACGGGAGGCAGCAGUGGGGAAUCUUGCGCAAUGGGCGAAAGCCUGACGCAGCAACGCCGCGUGCGGGAAGAAGGCUUUCGGGCUGUAAACCGCUUUCAGCAGGAACGAAAAUGACGGUACCUGCAGAAGAAGGAGCGGCCAACUAUGUGCCAGCAGCCGCGGUGAUACAUAGGCUUCAAGCGUUGUCCGGAUUUAUUGGGCGUAAAGAGUUCGUAGGCGGUCGAGUAAGUCGGGUGUGAAAAUUCUGGGCUCAACCCAGAGACGCCACCCGAUACUGCUUAACUUGAGUUCGAUAGGGGAGUGGGGAAUUCCUAGUGUAGCGGUGAAAUGCGCAGAUAUUAGGAGGAACACCGGUGGCGAAGGCGCCACUCUGGAUCGAUACUGACGCUGAGGAACGAAAGCAUGGGUAGCAAACAGGAUUAGAUACCCUGGUAGUCCAUGCCGUAAACGGUGGGCACUAGGUGUGGGAUUCUAUUAACGAAUUCCGCGCCGUCGCUAACGCAUUAAGUGCCCCGCUGGGGAGUACGGUCGCAAGCUAAAACUCAAAUGAAUUGACGG